UUGAUCCAUUGGGCAGCCUGGAGUGCUUGGUUCAGUGAGAGGCAGCAGAGAUGGAGAGAAAUAGCACAGGGCUGAGAGGCAUGAUGUCACUGGGCAUUGGUGAGCAGGGGCCACAUCCGGCCAGGGAAGAAACGCGCCCAGCCUGCCGUCUGCCCUCCUGUCCUGGAGCCAGGUCUUUCCACCAGCUUCGUUUGUCUUUUAACACUUGGUGAAAAGGAAUGACACGGUCAGUCACAGCCACUGGCUGGUGCUCACGGAGCAUCUGAUGGGAGGAAGCCCCUUCCUGGCUGGUCUCCCAUUCAUCAGUCAGCACCGCAGGCUGGGCCAGGGACGGCUGUGGAGCCUGGGCUGGGAGGCAGCUGAGAAAGGCAAGAAACAAGGAAAGGGGACAGAUUCGCCUGGUCGGAGAGCCAGGCAGAGAAAGCAAGAGAAGGAGCCUCUCCUGCUCCCAUCCGAACCUCCCAGGUCCUCCCCAGAGGCUCUGAGCCCUUCCACAGCCCUCCCCAGUCUCCUCCUAGUCCCCACCACCAUCCUUCUAGCCCCAAUUUAGAGCUGGGCAGUGACCGGACAGACUCUGGUUAAGCCUCAGAAACAUACGCCGAACAAGAGGUUCGAUUUUUCUCCUUCCUAACCUCCGUCGAGGCUCUCCCGUGGAGGGGGAAGAGAAGCAGAUCUAGCCUGGAGGAGCCAGGCCCGAGGCCCUCUGGCACCCUGACACCAGCACCCUGGUCUAACAUGCAGUAGGAGAAAUGAGGUCUGGAAGGGUGAACAGGCAGCUGGCCCCCCAUGAGGCCUUGGCCUCAGGCCCUGGCUGGGUUGGCAACAGCUCUUCUUGGCUCAGACGGACUCCCUUGGAAACAAACCUGUUACUCACUUCUCUCCUCUAGUUGGCUGACAAGGAAGUCGAAGCUGUUGGCUCAAAUCCUUUUUUUCUUUUUAACCUCUCCUUCUCCAUUUUUUUUUCUGCUGCCAAAAAAAAUUUUUUUGCA